rfam:Populus trichocarpa scaffold_11_contig_438, whole genome shotgun sequence.
UCUAGAACUUGAGAUAUGGGCUGAACACUCAACAGUGUUUGGGUUGCAGGACAAAUUCUGACUUCUUUGUUGUUGCUACAAUGUGAACUUGACAACGAUCCUUUUGAAUCUUGGACUCUUCAUGAAAGUUUUAGGCCUAUGUCUUAGCUUUCUAUC